rnacentral:rRNA from 4 species
GGAGGCAGCAGUGGGGAAUUUUCCGCAAUGGGCGAAAGCCUGACGGAGCAACGCCGCGUGAGGGAGGAAGGUCUUUGGAUUGUAAACCUCUUUUCUCAAGGAAGAAGUUCUGACGGUACUUGAGGAAUCAGCCUCGGCUAACUCCGUGCCAGCAGCCGCGGUAAUACGGGGGAGGCAAGCGUUAUCCGGAAUUAUUGGGCGUAAAGCGUCCGCAGGUGGUCAGCCAAGUCUGCCGUCAAAUCAGGUUGCUUAACGACCUAAAGGCGGUGGAAACUGGCAGACUAGAGAGCAGUAGGGGUAGCAGGAAUUCCCAGUGUAGCGGUGAAAUGCGUAGAGAUUGGGAAGAACAUCGGUGGCGAAAGCGUGCUACUGGGCUGUAUCUGACACUCAGGGACGAAAGCUAGGGGAGCGAAAGGGAUUAGAUACCCCUGUAGUCCUAGCCGUAAACGAUGGAUACUAGGCGUGGCUUGUAUCGACC